rnacentral:rRNA from 1 species
GCCUCAUAGACUGGGACAACUAUUGGAAACGAUAGCUAAUACCGGAUAACAGCAUUAACUGCAUGGUUGAUGUUUAAAAGUUGGUUUUGCUAACACUAUGAGAUGGCUUUGCGGUGCAUUAGCUAGUUGGUGGGGUAAAGGCCUACCAAGGCGACGAUGCAUAGCCGACCUGAGAGGGUGAUCGGCCACACUGGGACUGAGACACGGCCCAGACUCCUACGGGAGGCAGCAGCG